AUCACGUUGAAACACCGAUUCCCGUACGAUCCCCGAAGUUAAGCAACCUUGAUCCUGGUCAGUACCUAAAUGGGUGACCGCUUGCAAAAAACAGGUUCUGCAAG